rnacentral:lncRNA from 1 species
CAGGAGGUAUUCAUUUAUUUCUUAUGUAAUUUUAAAAGAGAGGGAACAAUGAACUCAUACACUUCUGGUAGGAACAUAAAAACGAUACAGUCAUUUGAAAACAGUUUGGCAGUUCCUCAAAAAGUUAAACAGAGUUAUCAUGUGACCCAGCCAUUUCACUCCUAGGUGUUUACCCAAGAGAGAAAGAAAUAUAUGUUCCUGCAGAUACUUGAGCGUUUAUAACAGCAUUGUCUGUAAUAACCCCAAAUCAGCGGCAACCAAAAUGUCUACAAGUCAAUGAAUGGAUAAUGAACUGGUAUAGGCCAUGUAAUUGAAUACUAUUCCACAAUAAUAGGAAACAACUAUUGGUACACACGACAACAUGAAUGCAUCUCAAAAUGAUGCUGAAAGAAGCCAGACGAAAGAGCAUUUGCUAUGUAUUACAAUUUAUAUAAAAUUCUAGAAAUGCAAAGCAAACUGUAGUGACAGAAAGCAGAUCAGUGGUUGAAUGUGGUGAGGGGUGGUGGCGUGGUAGGAGGAAGGAAUAACAAAUGGGUCUGAGGACACUUUUGGGGUGAUGGAUAUGUUCACCACCUUCAUUGAGGUGAUGAUUUAUCUGGUGUGUACAACAGCAAGAUUUAUCCAAUUGCAUACUUCAAACAUGUAUAGUUUAUUGUGUACUAAUCAUAACUCAAUGAAUCUAUAAAAAAGUAAUACAUGCUUAAUAUAGAACAUUUUGAAACAACAUAAAAAUGAAGAUGAAAAAUUUAAAAACUACUACUCUUUUGAAAAGAAAACCGUUAACAUUUUGGGGCUUUUUCUUCCAGGAAAGUUUCACGUCCACCAUACUGUCAGCUCUACAAGGGCAAGCCUGCCUGAUUCACCAGGUAUAUUCACAGAACUAUGCUGGAAAAGCAAAUGUGGGAUAACUAAGUUUGGAUAAAUAAAUGAAUGUGUAAAAUAGCCUACCCUCUUCAUUUCAUAGUAUAUAAUGAGGGCUUUUUCAUGUCACUAAAAGUUCUUUGAAAACAUACCAAUGGCUUCAUACCCUUCCACUGCCUGGAUCCACAGUAAUUGGUUUUAGACUUGGGUUGUUUAGAGUCUUUCAAUAUAACCAGUAGUGCUGUAACGUUCAGCUUUGUGUAUACCACAGAAGACUUGUGUUCACCAUGGAGGCUAUUUCACGACAAUUAAUGGAUCCAAUUAAGUAGGUUAAUAAUUUGGUUUUAUGUUGUGCAGCUAAAAAUAAGAUAGUUGCAACCAGGUGAAGUGGCUCACGCCUUUAAUCCCAGCACUUCGGGAGGCUGAGGCAGGCGGGUCACUUGAGGUCAGAAGUUGGAGACCAGCCUGGGCAACAUAGCGAAACCCUAUCUUUACUAAAAAUACAAAAAUUAACUGGGCAUGGUGGUGCAUGCCUGUAAUCCCAGCUACUUAGGAGACUGAGGCAGGAAAAUAGCUUGAACCCGG